CAAACGAGGCACCUCAAAAUGUUUUAGAAACAUUGUUCACUUAAAGCCGUACGGAAAGGUAAGACGGAAGCCCCCUUGAAGGAGAACGCACCAGGUUUUAACAGUUCGCUGUAUCACUGCAAACACCUAAAGAUAUGGACCCCCCGUAGAUGGCUAGUGAGGGGAUCGUUGUCGCCCUCUAGUGGCGUCUGAGAGUUCUGCAGGGUCUGAGAAGGGGACACACCUGCAAAACAACCACAGCGGUUAUAAAGAGGCAAGACCCGAAAGACCCAAAGAGAGGCAAACAUGUGGGACAGGGUCCUGCCUAGCAGCCUCACUCAUUCGGGAUGGACCAGGAGAGGCAUAGGAUCGUCUCUCAGACAGAGGAGUGGCUUGCAAGAUGAAAAGAUAUCUGUUCUCGGUAGUCCAAACUUUAAGUAACCGGAUCCCGAAAUCCCGAACCGAAUCCAAGACAUGGACACUGUACAGCACACUUCCAAAGACAUGAACACUGCGUACAGAGGCUUCACCAUGCCGACGGGAAGAGAUGGCACGAGGAGGGGUAUGGCUGUUAGAGAACAGUCACAUGACAGGAAGAAGGAAAUGGCCUUUUUCAAAAAACAGUCACAUGACAGAAAAAAAACGAAAAGCACUUGGAAGACGACAACAUGUGACGGAGAAUUAAUUCUGAGGACUAUUGUUAUUUGGUUCUGGUUGUAGAGAGAAGAGAUAUAUAUAUAUAUAUAAAAAUUUAAAGAACGCAUGCAUGGCAUUUUGCACAUGGAACACAACUUUAAAGGGG
ensembl:lncRNA